CCUACGGGAGGCAGCAGUGAGGAAUAUUGGUCAAUGGCCGGAAGGCUGAACCAGCCAUGCCGCGUGAAGGUCAGUGCCCUAUGGGUUGUAAACUUCUUUUAUAAAGGAAUAAAACGAGGCACGUGUGCCUUUUUGCAUGUACUUUAUGAAUAAGGAUCGGCUAACUCCGUGCCAGCAGCCGCGGUAAUACGGAGGAUCCGAGCGUUAUCCGGAUUUAUUGGGUUUAAAGGGAGCGUAGAUGGGUUGUUAAGUCAGUUGUGAAAGUUUGCGGCUCAACCGUAAAAUUGCAAUUGAUACUGGCAGUCUUGAGUACAGUUGAGGUAGGCGGAAUUCGUGGUGUAGCGGUGAAAUGCUUAGAUAUCACGAAGAACCCCGAUUGCGAAGGCAGCUUACUAAACUGUGACUGACAUUGAUGCUCGAAAGUGUGGGUAUCAAACAGGAUUAGAUACCCCUGUAGUC
rnacentral:rRNA from 1 species